rnacentral:rRNA from 1 species
GUCGAGCGAGUCUGCCUUGAAGAUCGGAGUGCUUGCACUCUGUGAACAAGAUACAGGCUAGCGGCGGACGGGUGAGUAACACGUGGGUAACCUGCCCCAAGAGAUCGGGGAUAACACCUGGGAAACAGAUGACUAAUACCGGAUAACAACAGAUGAUGCCUAUCAACUGUUUUAAAAGAUGGUUACUGCUAUCACUCGUUGGGAUCGGACCUGCGGUGCAUUAGCUAGUUGGUAGGGUAACGGCCUACCAAGGCGAUGAUGCAUAGCCGAGUUGAGAGACUGAUCGGCCACAUUGGGACUGAGACACGGCCCAAACUCCUACGGGAGGCAGCAGUAGGGAAAUCUUCCACAAUGGACGCAAGUCUGAUGGAGCAACGCCGCGUGAGUGUAAGAAGGGUUUCGGCUCGUAAAGCUCUGUUGUUGGUGAAGAAGGACAGGGGUAGUAACUGUACCUUUGUUUGACGGUAAUCAAUUAGAAAGUCACGGCUAACUACGUGCCCAGCAGCCGCGGGUAAU